GAAGAAGAGUUAGACAUCGGGAGAAAUUAGUUUGUAAUCACGAAAAGCGAAACUUUUUAUUUUAUUUAAAGAACCAGCCGAGUGAAAAAAGACAGACAAACACAUUGACAGAACAGAGAGAACAGCCAUAACCACUGAUAGAAACAACAGAAAACAGAAAACAGACAGAGGAGCAACACACGGGACAGAGAGAGCAGGAGACGGGUCAGCGAGAGCAACAGACAGGACAGACUGACAAACAGGCAGACUGGGAGCAACAGACAGGACAAGUAGAGGCACAUGCAGAGGAGCAACAGACAGUACAAAUAGAAGCGCAUGCAGAGGAGAUGGAAGAAGACACAGAGAGACAAACAGAAGAGACUCACUCCCCCCAAUCCUACAGCAGGGCCAAAAGAGUCGUGCUCUGGCUGGAGCAGCAACAUAUAGAUCCAUUUUCAAAAAUGAGUGGACCUUUUCAUGGCCAUUUAUUACCAGAAGGACCCUCAUCACGCACUACUGGUGUGCAGUGUGCCGUUUUGAAAACUCCUGUUGCCACCAGGCUGUGACAGAUGUAGUGCGGCACAUAAAAACCAAAGGCCACCAAGAAAAGAAACGGGCUCUCCAGUCCUCACUCAGCGACAAUAUCACAAUAUGCAAUGCCCAUUCCCUCUGUUGGGGGCAUGUCUGCACAAGAUGCUAAGGUAUCCCAUUUUGAUUUGGAGGACAUGAUGGUGGACAUCGGUUACUGGUUCAAGGGUAGCACAAAUCGGAAAGGAUACCCGACAGAGUUUUGUGAGCUCCAUGAAGUGGAGUACAUGGAGGUCCUCAUCCGUGUCUCGGUUUGUUGGCUAAGCCUUUGAACGUUGUUUGACCAGGAUCCUCAGACUUUAUGAACCUCUGGCCAGCUACUUCAAAUCUGCUGAUGAAAAUCCGGCCAGGUUCAAGAGGCUUGUGCAGACGUUCACUGACCCCAUGACAGAAGUGUACCUGCUGUUCUUUCAAGCCACCGGAUCUUCUAAAACAUGUGUCACCUACU
ensembl:lncRNA